ACCCGCGGUCCGAGCCGCGGCCGCGGCCCAUGACCGCGGCCUCCCCUGCUUCCAGCCGCGUUUUCAACCGCGGUUCAUGCCGUGACCGCGGGGAAGAGGCGGGGAUCCGCCUUUUGGUGGGCCCAGACGUGAUUUUUAGCCCAAAACUCCAUUUUCCCCCUCUUUUCUCAUAUCUAACAUCACACACACCCACUCCAUCUUCCCC
rnacentral:lncRNA from 1 species